rnacentral:rRNA from 1 species
GGAGGGUGCAAGCGUUGUUCGGAAUUACUGGGCGUAAAGAGCGUGUAGGCGGUUUGGCAAGUCAGAUGUGAAAGCCCUGGGCUCAACCCAGGAAGUGCAUUUGAAACUGCCAUUCUAGAGUAUGGGGGAGGAGAGUGGAAUUCCCGGUGUAGAGGUGAAAUUCGUAGAUAUUGGGAGGAACACCCGUGGCGAAGGCGACUCUCUGGACCAAUACUGACGCUGAGACGCGAAAGCGUGGGGAGCAAACAGGGAUUAGAUACCCUGGUAGUCCACGCCGUAAACGAUGAGAACUAGGUGUAGCGGGUAUUGACCCCCCUGCUGUGCCGUAGCUAACGCAUUAAGUUCUCCGCCUGGGGAUACGGUCGCAAGGCUAA